rfam:Candidatus Burkholderia pumila strain TZHbot3 BPMIctg420, whole genome shotgun sequence.
UGUGUUGUACGAUCAGCAGUAGCCUAGGACUAGGAGGGCAUGCGUCACUGAUAACGGUGGGGUGUGAAAUUUCUCUGACAAUGUAGCCCCUGGAUAUUUCGGGCAGGUGGCAGCUGUGAGACUGUCGCCUGGAGACUCCCAGCAGCAAGAGGGUCGAGGAG